GGUUAUGGACGGAAGGUUCCAGCAAUGAAGCAGCCCGCAGCAGGAGCGGCUCCAGCGGCAGCAGCAAACGUCAGCGCAGCCCGCUGGCCAGUAUUCCCGGGGGAUGUGACAUGACCUCACCGGGUUUUCAGUGGCAACAAGGGCGCGAGCUGCCAGCAGAGCUUCUCCCAGGCUGUCUUCAGAUUUAUGGUGUAGACGCCAUUUUCCUUUUGUAGAUGUACCGAUCCGUUUGGAAGUCAAGGAGAUGAUGAGGCAACCGAAGUAUUUCAGGUUAUCAAAAUACAAACAAGCAUUAAGGAAACCUGAACAAAUCUACAAGCACCACUACCCACCCUAGAACUUGAAAACUGAAUUUAUUUUAAGUAGAGGAAUCACACGAGGGUAUUUCAUGUUGUUAUCGAUCAAAGAAAAAUAAGAAAUACUGAUAUUUCACUAUAAAACAGGACAUUUAAAAAAUUUGGAAUUACCUGCUUUCUUUAUCAUCAAAUGUCUUC